rnacentral:lncRNA from 1 species
CGUCACCUCUGCUGUCUGUUAGCAGAGUGGAGGAGAAAAUACACAGCACAAACAACGUGAAAAAAUAGUUACUCUAUUCAUUAAAAGCUGUAACUUCCAGAUUGGACUUGAGAAGCAAUUAAGCAACAGAGGAACCUCAUCUACUAUCUGUAUUCAGGCAUGCUCAUGAGAACACGCUGCUCCAGCUGGACUUAGAGGAACCCGGUGCAUCACAGGCAUUCCUGACAGAGUCUCGUGGUCCUGCUGGUCCACUCAGUGGUACUCAGUCCUCCUCAUUCUCGGGGAUAGGUUCCAAGACCCCCAGGGGAUGCCUGAAACUGCGGAUGGUACCGAACCCUACAUAUAUUAUGUUUUUUUCCUAUACAUACAUACCUAUGAUAAAGCUUAAUUUACAAAUUAGAUAGAGUAAGAGAUUAACAACAAUUACAGCAAUAUACUGAAAUAAAAGUUAUGUGAAUGUG